UACGUAGGUGGCAAGCGUUGUCCGGAUUUACUGGGCGUAAAGAGCGCGCAGGCGGCCGAGUAAGUCGAAUGUGAAAGCCCCCGGCUCAACUGGGGAACGUCAUUCGAUACUGUUCGGCUCGAAGAUAGGAGAGGGAAGCGGAAUUUCAGGUGUAGUGGUGAAAUGCGUAGAUAUCUGAAGGAACACCAGUAGCGAAGGCGGCUUUCUGGCCUAUUCUUGACGCUGAGGCGCGAAAGCUAGGGGAGCGAACGGG
rnacentral:rRNA from 1 species